UACGUAGGGGGCAAGCGUUGUCCGGAGUUACUGGGCGUAAAGCGCACGCAGGCGGUCGAUUUUGUUCUGGGUGACAGCGGCAAGCUUCACUUGCCGAGGCUCCAGAAAACGGGUCGACUUGGAGGGCCAGAGAGGGACAUGGAAUUCCGGGUGGAGCGGUGAAAUGCGUAGAGAUCCGGAGGAACACCACAGGCGAAGGCAGUGUCCUGGCUGGCUCCUGACGCUCAGGUGCGAAAGCGAGGGGAGCAAACGGG
rnacentral:rRNA from 1 species